AGUCUUACUCUAACCUUUAGGGGGGGAGGAUGCCGAAGGCAGGGCUGAUGACUGGGGUGGAGUCGUAACAAGGUAGCCGUACCGGAAGGUGUGGCUGGAACACCGCCUUUUAGGGAGACCAUCUGAGACUACCGAACCUAAACAAUAGGUAGUAAUCAGUUAUCCCUGGUCCUUCRARAAAUAGAUGUCAAAGCUUUCAAACUAUUAACUGGUUCGGAACAUGGGCUAUUAGCUCAGUUGGUUAGAGCGCACCCCUGAUAAGGGUGAGGUCCCUGGUUCAAAUCCAGGAUGGCCCACCUGUAAAACAAGUAAUGAAUUUAAAGCAAUGAUUCACGGAUGAUUAAUCUCAGAGUCAAAGCAAAAAAAUCAAAACUCAUUAGUGGGGGUAUAGCUCAGCUGGUAGAGCGCCUGCCUUGCACGCAGGAAGUCAGCGGUUCGAGUCCGCUUACCUCCUCUCUCACUAGCUAACUAUCUAACUACAACAAAAACCAAAAAACAGCAGAGCAGAGAAAUCAGCACCUAGACUAUCCCAUGUGAGAGUCGGAAUGCUGGAGUCUAGAACUCUAGUCAGAACCUUGAAAACUGCAUAGAAAUUAAGUCAUCAAAAACAGCAGGUAAGUCAUCCGAGGAAUCGGAAAAUCUUACGAAGCCGACCACCAUCAAAGAAGUGAGUGGUCAAGUUACAAAGGGCUAACGGUG
rnacentral:misc_RNA from 1 species